rnacentral:lncRNA from 1 species
CUCGAUUAAUUAUUCAACAAGUCCUUCAUCAUUAAUUCCCAUUCAAAUAAGUCUCUAUGUCACUUUCAUAAUUCAGAAUACAAUCCGGCUUUGAUGUUUACUCCGUAUCAUAAUUAAGAAAUAAUUAAAUGACAUCUAAAACGACACUCGUAUUAUAAUUUUAAUUCACUCGGUCAUCGAGAUGACACGAAGUUCAACACUAGGCAUUUUGGGUGUUAUACAUCAGCCACGUCCUUGACGUUAUGAAUCUCCAACUCAAGUUUCACCCAAGUUGUGAGUUUAUCCUUGAAACAAAAGAAGGCACUGAUUUACUCUAGGUUUAGAAUUAUGUAAAAUGAGCUUAGAAACUCUCGCACAUACUCGCGUAUCCCCCGAGGUGAGCAAGUCAACGUAGCUUUAACCCUCAAAAGCUUUUCCUUGAGUUCCACGAUUUCGCUGCAUAGGGCCUCCACCAAGGCCACCAAGGCACUUCUAUGGUUGCAACAACGCCAUCCAUAUGGCUCUCGGUUGCCUUUAACCGACUCACCAUUGGCUUGCCCUUCAGAACCACUUCCUUGCCUUUGCUCACAGUACUUAGGGUCUCAACCAUCUUCUUGACCUCCAUGCUCGUUGUUUCUUCUGGAGUUUUCGUUAUCA